UUCGUCGAUGUCUGGAUCAAUCCUCUUUCUCUUCUCUUCUUUUCUAUUUUAUCUCCUUCUUUUCGGAAAUCAUAGAGAAAGUAGAAAUUAGGGUUUCAAUCUCUAUUUUAUGACAAAUAUGAAUCAAUGGUGGUUGAUGGAUUUCGGAGAAAUUAGGGUUGGAUUUCGGUGAAAAGGGUAUUGGUUCCUCUUUAAUUCAAGAUGUAAGAGAGGGGUGUUGUGAUCGAUAGAUUCUGAUGCUAUGAAGAACAUAGGAUUAGAAUUCAGAUUUCUGCUGAUGAUUCAUGGCGAGAAAGAGAUGAAGAACUGAAUAUUGAAUAGGGUUUCUAGAAGAUGGAUCUAUGCUCGAUUUGUGAGAAGAAGAAUUGGCAAUUUAUGUUUGCAAUUGGGUCAUUCUCAGAUUUCGUGGGAGAAAAUCAGGCAAUGAGAUCGCAGGUGUGGCUACCUUUCUUUGACAGUGCUUAUCAGGUUAUGACAACAAGACAAAUGGUUUCGUUUGAGUGUCACGGUACCAAUUACAUCUUCACAGUUAAUCAGGCUGCGGUAGAGGGGGGAGAGAAAUCGAACUACCUCGAGAGAGGGAUGAUACCAAGUGAAACGUAUUUUUUCUUUGAAGCAUCCAAUGCGAGUAGUAUCAAGGUCGUGUUUCAUUUCCCUCAUAACAUGCGAGUGGUAUGCAGAUUAUUAACCAACGUGAAGACGCCAGCAGCAACAUUAUCCGGCAUAAGGAGUUCAAUCUCCCGUCACUAGGUAUACGUGGUCUGAUAUCUUCCAAAGAGCAUUUGCUUCCCGUGUUUUUCCUGCCCAUGUGACCAAUAAGAAAUCUCCGCUUAGACGAAAUUAGUCUUUUCUUAUUUAACUGGUUAUAUGGGCCUCUCGAUACUGGAAAGACCCUUAUGGCUCGUCAAAUUGGUCAAAUAUUAAAUGGAAAGAACCCAAAGAUUGUGAACGGUCCUGAAGUGUUAAGCAAAUUUGUCGGAGAGACUGAGAAGAACGUUAGGGAUUUAUUUUUUGAUGCUGAGAAUGAUCAAAGGACUCUAGGGGAUCAAAGUGAGCUGCAUGUUAUCAUAUUUGAUGAGAUCGAUGUUAUCUGUAAGGUCAAUGAUGGUCGAUUAAGGACAAGUGGUGAGGCUUCUCCAAGGAGUACUAAGAAAGAUUGGGUAUAGUGGAUGAGGCAUUUUGUUAUUGAGCUUCUUAAAGAAUCCCAAUCUCCAUCUUUUUUUCCUUGCCUUGUGCGGGGCUUGCGCAAUUACAGACUUUGUGAGUUGCUUGGCUCAGUUGACGAUAAAUUUUUAUGAGAAGCUUCUAGUACCUGGUCUCAAAGUGGAUGGGUGAAAAUGAGAAUCGAUUCUUUAAGUGGCCAGCGCGGGGAAGGAAAUGAGAAUGAAGCUUCUCGACGGAUCAAAACGGAACUUCUUGUACAAAUGCAGGAUUGCCUACAUCUAGUUUUCUGAUGCCCAAGCUUCCAACAAAAGCAAAGCCUGCAAAGGAUAUAAAGCUUAGUUGCGGUUAUUGAAUAAUGUUCUAUUUCAUCAAAAAGGGUGGAGAACAAAGCAGCUAAGAUUUGGAUUUGGAGGGGGCAGGGUUUAAGUUUAUAUACGUGUUAGAAAAAUAAAGGGACCGCAUACUUUGAGUAUGCAUCCCGACCACAUUGUACCCGGCACCUUAGAGAAAUUUCAGUUCUUCUGUAAUUUAUAUGUGGUCAGUUCUUUUGUAAUAUAAAUCUAAUAUGAAUUGAAUGAAUGUGAUAUGAAUAGAUUAAAAAAAUUGUUGUUGAG